rnacentral:rRNA from 1 species
AUUGAACGCUGGCGGCAUGCUUUACACAUGCAAGUCGAACGGCAGCGCGGGCUUCGGCCUGGCGGCGAGUGGCGAACGGGUGAGUAAUGCAUCGGAACGUGCCCAGUAGUGGGGAUAGCCCAGCGAAAGCCGGAUUAAUACCGCAUACGACCUGAGGGUGAAAGCGGGGGACCGAAAGGCCUCGCGCUAUUGGAGCGGCCGAUGUCGGAUUAGCUAGUUGGUGGGGUAAAGGCUUACCAAGGCGACGAUCCGUAGCUGGUCUGAGAGGACGACCAGCCACACUGGGACUGAGACACGGCCCAGACUCCUACGGGAGGCAGCAGUGGGGAAUUUUGGACAAUGGGGGCAACCCUGAUCCAGCCAUGCCGCGUGCGGGAAGAAGGCCUUCGGGUUGUAAACCGCUUUUGUUCGGGAAGAAAUCCUCUGGGCUAAUACCCCGGGGGGAUGACGGUACCGGAAGAAUAAGCACCGGCUAACUACGUG